GAAGUGACAUGGGCAGCAGAAUAUCAGUUUGGAAGCAGUGCAGAGAAUGAAUUGGAGAACAGAGAGCCCAUGGUGUUAUGGAUGCAGGGAGACUAAUGGGGAGGAUAUCUACAACAAUCUCAAUCUAUUCUCUGCAGAUGAUAAGUGUAUGGCUGGCUGCUGAAGAUUGAAAAGCCGGCUGACUUUUGCCCCUACGUGCAACAAAUCACAGGCUGAUUUCUCUACACAAAAGUCACCGAUACAUAAUAUUUAUCAGUACAUUAUACCAAGGGAAAGUACUGUGUGAAGGUAGAAGAAGAGAAAUGUUCUUGACAGCUGGAGAGACCACCCAACAAUGACUUCAUUUAGGGGGUUGGACUUUGAAGGACUGGGUUAGAACGUCUAUAAGACUAAAGGAAGAGGAAGCAUGCACUGCCUACUCUCCCAUUUGGGUUGCCAUGUAGCUGUGAAUGCAUGGUCCAGCUGUUUCUUCUGCACCUGUUGUGUUUCUACUUUCCCAAUCUUAGAGAAAGAAACUGAAGCCAGAGAAGAGAGGUGA